rnacentral:rRNA from 1 species
UACGAAGGGGGCUAGCGUUGCUCGGAAUUACUGGGCGUAAAGGGCGCGUAGGCGGAUAUCUAAGUUGGGGGUGAAAUCCCGGGGCUCAACCUCGGAAUUGCCUUCAAAACUGGAUAUCUUGAGUUCGGGAGAGGUGAGUGGAACUCCGAGUGUAGAGGUGAAAUUCGUAGAUAUUCGGAAGAACACCAGUGGCGAAGGCGGCUCACUGGCCCGAUACUGACGCUGAGGCGCGAGAGCGUGGGGAGCAAACAGG